CUAUGAUGAUUGCAUAUUAAACUCUCCACUUUAUUAAGACCUUCUUAGCAUUUGUGUUUUAUGUCCUGCCAGGUACCAAAAUUCAUCCUCAAUAUGAUGGAGUGACACAAAUUCCAGAUUAUGCAGAUUACACCUUUGACUAUGACGGUAAUUCAACAUUCAGUUAUGAGAUGUAUGAAAUUCUCAGUCAAGGAAAAGAAACAGCACCUGGCAGUAACGUGAACAAGCUGGCUUCAAAAACAGCACAUGGAUUCUAUGCUGUACUACUGGGACUGACAGUACAACAGUUCUGCCUACAAAUAUGAAUGGGGCUGCACAACAAAGGAUCUGAAGCCACAGCGAGAGACCAGUCUAGAUGUCCAGGCAAUUUACCAGAGGAUGCACCAUUUCCUUCCUUCUUAAUCUUCAUAUUAUACAUAAGGUUAUUUUUUACUUGUACAUAAAUAUUCAACACAAUUGCAUCAACUCAAAGAGUAUAUCAGCCCCCUGAAACCUGAAGCUGCAAUCUUUCUAUUUUUCACUGACACCAUGAGCUGGCUUUCUGCAAAUGGAUUAAGCCUAGUCCUCUUUAUAUAGGUUCCAUGCUGAAUGGAGAUUCUCCAUGGUAAGGAAAA
ensembl:lncRNA